AGGAAGGAGCUGGGUCCCAUGAAAGAGGGACUGGGCCCGGCUGGGGAUAGACUGGGGGGCCCUAUGGUGGCACCUGCUGAUAUGGUGGGGGCACUGGAUUGUACUGUGGCGGUGCCGGGCAGUACGGUGACUGGUGCACUGGUUCAUACUGCGGCGGUGGUGUCGGGUGGUACUGUAGUGGAGCAGGCUCGUGCUGGGGUGGCUCAGGAUUCCCUUGCUGUAG
rnacentral:lncRNA from 1 species